rnacentral:rRNA from 1 species
AUGAGCGGCGAGGCGGCGGCCGGCGGCGGCGGGGAGGCGAACGGCGUACAGCCGAACGUGACCAUCUACAUCAAUAACCUCAACGAGAAGAUCAAACUCGAAGCGCUUAAGAAGUCCCUCAAUGCCGUUUUCUCCCAGUUUGGGAAAAUCAUUGAGGUGCUUGCUUUUAAGACUUUGAAGCAUAAAGGGCAAGCAUGGGUUGUGUUCGAAGAUGUUGCAUCAGCAACUGAGGCUUUGAAGAGGAUGCAAGAUUUUCCCUUCUAUGACAAACCCAUGAAAAUUCAAUAUGCCAAGACCAAGUCAGAUGUUAUAGCAAAAGCUGAUGGCACCUUUGUACCCCGAGAAAAAAGGAAGAGGAAUGAUGAGAAACCUGAAAAGAAGCAGAAGCGUGAGCAGCACCACGAUGUUAACCAGGCUGGCGUGGGCAUGCAUGCCUAUCCUGGUGCUUAUGGGGCUCCGCCGCUCUCUCAGCUACCUUUUGGUGCGGGACCGAAGGUCAUGAUGCCAGAGAUUAUUGUACCAAACAACAUUCUCUUCGUCCAAGAACUCCCACACGAUGCAACGGCUUUGAUGCUGCAGAUGUUCUUCUGCCAGUACCCUGGGUUCAAGGAAGUGCGGAUGAUCGAAGCAAAGCCUGGUAUCGCUUUCGUGGAGUAUGGAGACGAGGGGCAGGCGACCGCAGCCAUGAACCUUCUUCAGGGUUUCAAAAUCAAAGAGAACCCAAUGCGCAUCACAUAUGCGAAGAAGUAA